rnacentral:tRNA from 1 species
GGGGUCAUAGCUCAGUUGACUAGAGCACUUGAUUUGCAUUCAAGAGGUCCAGGGUUUGAAUCCCUGUGGCUCCA